UCGAGGGGCAGCACAGGUAGCAAUAUCUGGUGGCGACCGGCGCACGGGUGAGUAACACGUAUGCAACCUACCUGUAAGAGGGGAAUAACCCGGAGAAAUCCGGACUAAUACCGCAUAACACUGUGAUUUCGCAUGAGAUUACAGUUAAAUAUUUAUAGCUUACAGAUGGGCAUGCGUAUGAUUAGCUAGUUGGUGAGGUAACGGCCCACCAAGGCAUCGAUCAUUAGGGGUUCUGAGAGGAAGGUCCCCCACACUGGUACUGAGAUACGGACCAGACUCCUACGGGAGGCAGCAGUGAGGAAUAUUGGUCAAUGGGCGAGAGCCUGAACCAGCCAAGUCGCGUGAAGGAAGAAGGUUCUAUGGAUUGUAAACUUCUUUUGUAAGGGAAUAAAGUGCGGUACGUGUACCGUUUUGUAUGUACUUUACGAAUAAGGAUCGGCUAACUCCGUGCCAGCAGCCGCGGUAAUACGGAGGAUCCAAGCGUUAUCCGGAUUUAUUGGGUUUAAAGGGUGCGUAGGCGGACCUGAAAGUCAGUGGUGAAAGUUUGCAGCUUAACUGUAAAAUUGCCAUUGAAACUCUGGGUCUUGAGUGUAAAUGAGGUAGGCGGAAUGUGUUGUGUAGCGGUGAAAUGCUUAGAUAUAACACAGAACACCAAUUGCGAAGGCAGCUUACUAGGAUACAACUGACGCUGAGGCACGAAAGCGUGGGGAUCAAACAGGAUUAGAUACCCUGGUAGUCCACGCAGUAAACGAUGAAUACUAACUGUAUGCGAUAUACUGUAUGUGGUAAAGCGAAAGCGUUAAGUAUUCCACC
rnacentral:rRNA from 1 species